UCCAAACCCCACAAAUAUAUUGAAUGAAUCUUGUUUAUGGUAUUUCAGGUUAUGGAUAUUAUCCGAACCGAACCCGAACCUAAAAAGAUAUCCGAUAGAAUUGAAAUAUUCAAAAUCCCAAAAAGAACUUAUACCAAACAUGAUCUCAGUCCCUAAUAUGUAUCCAAAAUACACUAAGAUAUUAUUGAAAAUUAAAAAUAAUUAUCUAUUAUAUGAAGAUCGAUGGUUGAAGCUGUCAAUUGAAGCUCGAAGUUUUUAGAAUUAGGUUUUGUUUUCAUUGAAUAAUGUUUUUCAUUCCAUGAGAACUUGGUUUUUGUUUUAUGUUUUCAUUUAAUUGAUUUUUUUUCUAUCAAUAACUAGGUUUACCUUCUGUUUGAUUUUGAAUGAUCACCUUUGAUGUUCGUUUUUUAUUUUUGAAUCGAUUUUACCUAUGUUUUGAUUACAAAAUAGGUACAAAUAAGGUAUUUUAAUAACCGAUUUUACUUAUGUUUUGGUUAUAAAGUAAGUAGAAAUCAGGUAUUUUAAACCGAAAAAUUGAUUGGGACCUGAAUCCGAAAUUAUAUCGGGUUCUACCGGUUCUUUGAAGAUUUACUAACCCCGACUCGAACCUGAUUGAACCGGUCCCAAAUCAGUCCUGAACCGGUCCCGAAUCAGUCCUGAACCGGUCCCGAAUCGAUCCUGAACCGGUUCCGAACCGGUCAUGAACCGGUCCCGAACCAAACUUUCAUAUAACCCAAAUCGAGCCGAUUUUGAUAAAUCUGAAAAACCGAGAGAGAUAUUGAUAUCAUCUUCCUAAUAUAGAAUCUAAUAUAUGUAGUUGUUUUACCUAGAGAGAUAUUGAUAUCAUCUUCCUAAUAGCUAAAUGAUUUAAGAGUUGCAUUUAAACUUUUUUAGUUUAUGAUUAAUAAUGAAUGCAACAAUAUACUAUUUUAUUAUAAUGCAUAUGUUAAAUUUUUCAACGAAAAUAUAAAAUAGGCACAUAUUCAUAUGAUAAUGUUUGAUACAAAGCGAUUGAAUUGAAAUUUUGGAAAAGAUGACAUGUUUGGUGCAUAUUUUUUUCAAUUCAAAUCAUAGUUUAAAAUAACAUAUAUAUUGUAUAAUUUAGUGCCGCAUGUGGUUUUCAUGCAAUGUUAUAUAUAUGGACAGUUACACACCAUAUAUGUUUCUUGCUGACUUUGCUAAUAAAGGGUUUGAAAACAGAAAAUGUUUAGUUGCUGUUUCUAAUACCCCUUGAAGAUGUUGUUGUGUUUUGUAGAGAGAUACAUCCGUCAUCUAUCUAAUGAAUUAAAGAAUUGUGAAUUUUUGUUAGCAUUUUUUAAGGAAAUUUACCAAAAAUGACUCAACACUUGAUUUUGCGAUAUGGUUUUCUUUUCAUCAUAUUGUCACUGUUCUUUCCCACUUUUUUACUCCAUUAUUUAACCAAUCAUACCUUUAUAUUGUACAUAUGUGAGUGAAACAGAAAGUGUGAUUGAAUGACACAAUGGGCGAUAAUAAAUUGGAGUAACAAACUAUUCAGCUGAUUUACGCUAUUUUUUUCCAAUCAAGAUAAAUAUUUAUUCAGCCCACUUACGCUAGGGAAAGAAAAAAGUGGAGUAAAGAUAAAAUAAUGUAUUUCUCUUGGUUAAGUGAGAAAAAAAAAGUUUACUCCGAGUUCUGUUUUUUAUUUUUCCCCAUAAUUUCAUCUUUUUAUUUCCAUAUUUUUACUCAAAUUAAUGCCAGUCACACCCAAAAUGUUACAACUAGGCUGGAAGAAUAUCUUUUAAUUUAUUAUAAAGUAUUUUUUGCCGAUAUGCUGUUUUGUUUUAUUACAUUAUAAUCAAAAACUGUUCACAAUUUACCAUAAAGAAAAGAAAAUUUAUUAUAAACUAAGUUAAAUGUAUAUGUCAUAAUUGGAGUAGGAAUCAAUUGAUUAUAUGAUUUUCAGGCCUCUGCAUGUAAUUACUAAUUUGAACAAGAUAUUUGCUUUGACCAUAUUUACAAAAUAACUUAAUAUGUCAAAUAUAUAAAUAAAUAUCAUUAACUUGUAUGUAUCAAAUAAGGAAGAUUAAUUAAAAAUAAUAAUAUAAGAAUGGAAAUUUUAGAUUCUCAAGACUAAAAGUUAUAUAAAUAGAGGUUUUCUACAAUACAGAAAAGUAAGAAUAUUUUUCUUGAUAUAUUUUAUACAAAAGAAAAAAUCAUGGCGGUCACAAAAAAUUUGGUGUUUUUUUCUCUAGCUGUAAUAUUAGCAGCUUCAAUGUUUAAUAGCAACAUUUUGGCUUCAGGUGAAGAGAUCGGCCCAAUCGAGAAAUGCCUUGAUUUUUGUACGAACGGUUACACACUGGAUAUGUGCUAUUCUGACUGUGUUAAACAAGGGUUUCAAACCGCAGAAUGUAAAAAUGUUCCUCUUCCUAAUACCCCUUUAAGAUGUUGUUGUUUUACCUAGAGAGAUAUUGCUAUCACCUUCCUAAUAGCUAAAUGAUUUAAGAGUUGCAUUUAAUUUCUUUUAGUUUAUGAUUAAUAAUGAAUGCAACAAAAUACUACUUUAUUAUAAUGCAUGUGUUAAAUUAUUCAACGAAAAUAUACAAUAGUCACAUAUUCAUAUGAUAAUGUUUGAUACAAAACGAUUGAAUUGGGAUUUUGGAAAAGAUGACAUGUUUGGUGCAUAAUUUUUACAAUUCAGAUCAUAGUUUAAAAUAACACACAUAUAUUGUAUAACUAGGACCGCAUGUGGUUUUCAUGCAAUGUUAUAUAUACGGACAGUUACACACCAUAUAUGUGGCUUGCUGACUAUGCUAAGAAAGUGUUUGAAAACAGAAAAUGUUUAAUUGAUGUUCCUAAUACCCCUUGAAGAUGUUGUUGUGUUUUGUAGAGAGAUACAUCCGUCAUCUUUCUAAUGAAUUAAAUUACAUUAUUUUUUUUCAAUCAUGAUAAAUAUUUAUUCAGCCCACUUACGCUAGGGAAAGAAAAAAGUGGAAUAAAGAUAGAAUAAUGUAUUUCUCUUGGUUAAGUAAGAAAAAAAGUUUACUGUGGGUUCUGUUUUUAUUUUUCCACCUAUUUUCAUCUUUUUGUUUUCACCUUUUUACUCAAAUUAAUGCCAGUCACACCCAGAGCUUUACAGCUAGGCUGGAAGAAUAUCUUUUAAUUUAUUAUAAAGAAUUUUUUGAUGAUAUGAUGUUUUGUUUUAUUACAUUAUAAUCAAAAACUGUUCACAAUUUACCAUAAAAAAAAAGAAUAUUUAUUAUAAACUAACUUAAAUGUAUAUGUCAUAAUUGGAGUAGGAAUCAGUUGAUUAUAUGAUUUUCAGGCCUCUGCAUGUGAUUACUAUUAAGAUUCGAACAAGAGAUUUGCUUUGACCAUAUUUACAAAAUAGCUUAAUAUGUCAAAUAUAUAAAUAAAUAUCAUUAAUUUCCAUGUAUCAAAUAUGGAAGAUUAAUUAAAAAUAAUCAUAUAGGAAUGGAAAUUUUAGAUUCCCAAGACUAAAAGUUACUCCCUCCGUUUCUAAAUGAUCUAUGUUUUAGAAAAAUAUUUUGUUUCUAAAAAAUCCAUAUUUUAUAUUUUCAAUGUAUGUAAUAAUGGCAAAUUGUAAACUUCAAAAACAUUAAUUGUAUUUACUGAAUUUUGAUUGGUUAAAAAUCAUAAGAAAUAGCUAAAAACAGAAAAUCAUACAUUUAUUAUCAAAAUUUUAAGUGUUUUCUUAAUAAGUGUGAAAAUUCUAAAACAUAAAUUAUUUAGGAACAGAAGGAGUAUAUAAAUAGAGGUUGUCUACAAUACAUAAAAGUAAGAAUAUCUUUCUUAAUAUAUUUUAUACAAAAGAAAAAAUUAUGGCCGUCACAAAAAAAAUUUAGUGAUUUUUCUCUAACUGUAAUAUUAGCAGCUUCAAUGUUUAAUAGCAACAUUUUGGCUUCAAGUAUGUUGAAAUUAUAUAAUUAACAAAGAAGAUUUUACUGUAGUUAUUUUCAAAGUCAAACAUAAUGGUUAAAGAAAAUAAUUGUAGAAUUAACAAAGAUCAUAUAUGUUUUAUGUGGUUUGGUUUGUGUAGGUGAAGAGAUCGUCCCAAUCGAGAAAUGCCUUGAUUUUUGUACGGACAGUUACACACUGGAUAUGUGCUACUAUGACUGUGUUAAAGAAGGGUAUCAAACCGCAGAAUGUAAAAGUGUUCCUCUUCCUAAUACCCCUUUAAGAUGUUGUUGUUUUACCUAGAGAGAUAUUGAUAUCAUCUUCCUAAUAGCUAAAUGAUUUAAGAGUUGCAUUUAAAUUUUUUUAGUUUAUGAUUAAAAAUGAAUGCAACAAUAUACUACUUUAUUAUAAUGCAUAUGUUAAAUUUUUCAACGAAAAUAUAAAAUAGUCACAUAUUCAUAUGAUAAUGUUUGAUACAAAGCGAUUGAAUUGAAAUUUUGGAAAAGAUGACAUGUUUGGUGCAUAUUUUUUCAAUUCAAAUCAUAGUUUAAAAUAACACAUAUAUUGUAUAAUUUAGUGCCGCAUGUGGUUUUCAUGCAAUGUUAUAUAUAUGGACAGUUACACACCAUAUAUGUUUCUUGCUGACUUUGCUAAUGAAGGGUUUGAAAACAGAAAAUGUUUAGUUGCUGUUUCUAAUACCCCUUGAAGAUGUUGUUGUGUUUUGUAGAGAGAUACAUCCGUCAUCUAUCUAAUGAAUUAAAGAAUUGUGAAUUUUUGUUAGCAUUUUUUAAGGAAAAUUACCAAAAAUGACUCAACACUUGAUUUUGCGAUAUGGUUUUCUUUUCAUCAUAUUGUCACUGUUCUUUUCCACUUUUUUACUCCAUUAUUUAACCAAUCACACCUUUAUAUUGUACAUCUGCGAAAGAAACAGAAAGUGUGAUUGAAUGACACAAUGGACGAUAAUAAAUUGGAGUAACAAACUAUUCAGCUGAGUUACGCUAUUUUUUUCCAAUCAGGAUAAAUAUUUAUUCAGUCCACUUACGCUAGGGAAAGAAAAAAGUGGAGUAAAGAUAAAAUAAUGUAUUUCUCUUGGUUAAGUGAGAAAAAAAGUUUACUUCGGGUUCUGUUUUUAUUUUUCCCCAUACUUUCAUCUUUUUAUUUCCAUAUUUUUACUCAAAUUAAUGCCAGUCACACCCAAAAUGUUACAACUAGGCUGGAAGAAUAUCUUUUAAUUUAUUAUAAAGUAUUUUUUGCCGAUAUGUUGUUUUGUUUUAUUACAUUAUAAUCAAAAACUGUUCACAAUUUACCAUAAAGAAAAGAAAAUUUAUUAUAAACUAAGUUAAAUGUAUAUGUCAUAAUUGGAGUAGGAAUCAAUUGAUUAUAUGAUUUUCAGGCCUCUGCAUGUAAUUACUAUUAAGAUUUGAACAAGAUAUUUGCUUUGACCAUAUUUACAAAAUAACUUAAUAUGUCAAAUAUAUAAAUAAAUAUCAUUAACUUGUAUGUAUCAAAUAUGGAAGAUUAAUUAAAAAUAAUAAUAUAAGAAUGGAAAUUUUAGAUUCUCAAGACUAAAAGUUAUAUAAAUAGAGGUUUUCUACAAUACAGAAAAGUAAGAAUAUUUUUCUUGAUAUAUUUUAUACAAAAGAAAAAAUCAUGGCGGUCACAAAAAAUUUGGUGUUUUUUUCUCUAGCUGUAAUAUUAGCAGCUUCAAUGUUUAAUAGCAACAUUUUGGCUUCAGGUGAAGAGAUCGGCCCAAUCGAGAAAUGCCUUGAUUUUUGUACGAACGGUUACACACUGGAUAUGUGCUAUUCUGACUGUGUUAAACAAGGGUUUCAAACCGCAGAAUGUAAAAAUGUUCCUCUUCCUAAUACCCCUUUAAGAUGUUGUUGUUUUACCUAGAGAGAUAUUGCUAUCACCUUCCUAAUAGCUAAAUGAUUUAAGAGUUGCAUUUAAUUUCUUUUAGUUUAUGAUUAAUAAUGAAUGCAACAAAAUACUACUUUAUUAUAAUGCAUGUGUUAAAUUAUUCAACGAAAAUAUACAAUAGUCACAUAUUCAUAUGAUAAUGUUUGAUACAAAACGAUUGAAUUGGGAUUUUGGAAAAGAUGACAUGUUUGGUGCAUAAUUUUUACAAUUCAGAUCAUAGUUUAAAAUAACACACAUAUAUUGUAUAACUAGGACCGCAUGUGGUUUUCAUGCAAUGUUAUAUAUACGGACAGUUACACACCAUAUAUGUGGCUUGCUGACUAUGUUAAGAAAGUGUUUGAAAACAGAAAAUGUUUAAUUGAUGUUCCUAAUACCCCUUGAAGAUGUUGUUGUGUUUUGUAGAGAGAUACAUCCGUCAUCUUUCUAAUGAAUUAAAUUACAUUAUUUUUUUUCAAUCAUGAUAAAUAUUUAUUCAGCCCACUUACGCUAGGGAAAGAAAAAAGUGGAGUAAAGAUAGAAUAAUGUAUUUCUCUUGGUUAAGUAAGAAAAAAAGUUUACUGUGGGUUCUGUUUUUAUUUUUCCACCUAUUUUCAUCUUUUUGUUUUCACCUUUUUACUCAAAUUAAUGCCAGUCACACCCAGAGCUUUACAGCUAGGCUGGAAGAAUAUCUUUUAAUUUAUUAUAAAGAAUUUUUUGACGAUAUGAUGUUUUGUUUUAUUACAUUAUAAUCAAAAACUGUUCACAAUUUACCAUAAAAAAAAAGAAUAUUUAUUAUAAACUAACUUAAAUGUAUAUGUCAUAAUUGGAGUAGGAAUCAGUUGAUUAUAUGAUUUUCAGGCCUCUGCAUGUGAUUACUAUUAAGAUUCGAACAAGAGAUUUGCUUUGACCAUAUUUACAAAAUAGCUUAAUAUGUCAAAUAUAUAAAUAAAUAUCAUUAAUUUCCAUGUAUCAAAUAUGGAAGAUUAAUUAAAAAUAAUCAUAUAGGAAUGGAAAUUUUAGAUUCCCAAGACUAAAAGUUACUCCCUCCGUUUCUAAAUGAUCUAUGUUUUAGAAAAAUAUUUUGUUUCUAAAAAAUCCAUAUUUUAUAUUUUCAAUGUAUGUAAUAAUGGCAAAUUGUAAACUUCAAAAACAUUAAUUGUAUUUACUGAAUUUUGAUUGGUUAAAAAUCAUAAGAAAUAGCUAAAAACAGAAAAUCAUACAUUUAUUAUCAAAAUUUUAAGUGUUUUCUUAAUAAGUGUGAAAAUUCUAAAACAUAAAUUAUUUAGGAACAGAAGGAGUAUAUAAAUAGAGGUUGUCUACAAUACAUAAAAGUAAGAAUAUCUUUCUUAAUAUAUUUUAUACAAAAGAAAAAAUUAUGGCCGUCACAAAAAAAAUUUAGUGAUUUUUCUCUAACUGUAAUAUUAGCAGCUUCAAUGUUUAAUAGCAACAUUUUGGCUUCAAGUAUGUUGAAAUUAUAUAAUUAACAAAGAAGAUUUUACUGUAGUUAUUUUCAAAGUCAAACAUAAUGGUUAAAGAAAAUAAUUGUAGAAUUAACAAAGAUCAUAUAUGUUUUAUGUGGUUUGGUUUGUGUAGGUGAAGAGAUCGUCCCAAUCGAGAAAUGCCUUGAUUUUUGUACGGACAGUUACACACUGGAUAUGUGCUACUAUGACUGUGUUAAAGAAGGGUAUCAAACCGCAGAAUGUAAAAGUGUUCCUCUUCCUAAUACCCCUUUAAGAUGUUGUUGUUUUACCUAGAGAGAUAUUGAUAUCAUCUUCCUAAUAGCUAAAUGAUUUAAGAGUUGCAUUUAAAUUUUUUUAGUUUAUGAUUAAAAAUGAAUGCAACAAUAUACUACUUUAUUAUAAUGCAUAUGUUAAAUUUUUCAACGAAAAUAUAAAAUAGUCACAUAUUCAUAUGAUAAUGUUUGAUACAAAGCGAUUGAAUUGAAAUUUUGGAAAAGAUGACAUGUUUGGUGCAUAUUUUUUCAAUUCAAAUCAUAGUUUAAAAUAACACAUAUAUUGUAUAAUUUAGUGCCGCAUGUGGUUUUCAUGCAAUGUUAUAUAUAUGGACAGUUACACACCAUAUAUGUUUCUUGCUGACUUUGCUAAUGAAGGGUUUGAAAACAGAAAAUGUUUAGUUGCUGUUUCUAAUACCCCUUGAAGAUGUUGUUGUGUUUUGUAGAGAGAUACAUCCGUCAUCUAUCUAAUGAAUUAAAGAAUUGUGAAUUUUUGUUAGCAUUUUUUAAGGAAAAUUACCAAAAAUGACUCAACACUUGAUUUUGCGAUAUGGUUUUCUUUUCAUCAUAUUGUCACUGUUCUUUUCCACUUUUUUACUCCAUUAUUUAACCAAUCACACCUUUAUAUUGUACAUCUGCGAAAGAAACAGAAAGUGUGAUUGAAUGACACAAUGGACGAUAAUAAAUUGGAGUAACAAACUAUUCAGCUGAGUUACGCUAUUUUUUUCCAAUCAGGAUAAAUAUUUAUUCAGUCCACUUACGCUAGGGAAAGAAAAAAGUGGAGUAAAGAUAAAAUAAUGUAUUUCUCUUGGUUAAGUGAGAAAAAAAGUUUACUUCGGGUUCUGUUUUUAUUUUUCCCCAUACUUUCAUCUUUUUAUUUCCAUAUUUUUACUCAAAUUAAUGCCAGUCACACCCAAAAUGUUACAACUAGGCUGGAAGAAUAUCUUUUAAUUUAUUAUAAAGUAUUUUUUGCCGAUAUGCUGUUUUGUUUUAUUACAUUAUAAUCAAAAACUGUUCACAAUUUACCAUAAAGAAAAGAAAAUUUAUUAUAAACUAAGUUAAAUGUAUAUGUCAUAAUUGGAGUAGGAAUCAAUUGAUUAUAUGAUUUUCAGGCCUCUGCAUGUAAUUACUAUUAAGAUUUGAACAAGAUAUUUGCUUUGACCAUAUUUACAAAAUAACUUAAUAUGUCAAAUAUAUAAAUAAAUAUCAUUAACUUGUAUGUAUCAAAUAUGGAAGAUUAAUUAAAAAUAAUAAUAUAAGAAUGGAAAUUUUAGAUUCUCAAGACUAAAAGUUAUAUAAAUAGAGGUUUUCUACAAUACAGAAAAGUAAGAAUAUUUUUCUUGAUAUAUUUUAUACAAAAGAAAAAAUCAUGGCGGUCACAAAAAAUUUGGUGAUUUUUUCUCUAGCUGUAAUAUUAGCAGCUUCAAUGUUUAAUAGCAACAUUUUGGCUUCAGGUGAAGAGAUCGGCCCAAUCGAGAAAUGCCUUGAUUUUUGUACGAACGGUUACACACUGGAUAUGUGCUAUUCUGACUGUGUUAAACAAGGGUUUCAAACCGCAGAAUGUAAAAAUGUUCCUCUUCCUAAUACCCCUUUAAGAUGUUGUUGUUUUACCUAGAGAGAUAUUGCUAUCACCUUCCUAAUAGCUAAAUGAUUUAAGAGUUGCAUUUAAUUUCUUUUAGUUUAUGAUUAAUAAUGAAUGCAACAAAAUACUAGUUUAUUAUAA